rnacentral:ribozyme from 12 species
UCUUACAGUUUUUAUUUAUUUUUUUUUUUCCCUUUUCGAUUUGUUAC